rnacentral:rRNA from 1 species
GAAGCUUUUAAAUUUUAAUUAAAAACUAGGAUUAGAUACCCUAUUAUUUAAAAAUUAAUAUGUAUUCUUAGGUAGUAGUAGUUAUGUACUUGAAACUUAAAAAAUUUGGCGGUAUUUUAGUCUGUCCAGAGGAACCUGUUCUGUAAUCGAUAAUCCACGUUGGACCUUACUUAAUAAUGUACUCAGUUUAUAUACCGUCGUUAUAAGAAUAUUUUAUAAGAAUAAUAAUUUUCUUGAAUUUUUAUUAAAAUUUAUAUCAGAUCAAGGUGUAGCUAAUGGUUAAGUAGAAAUGGGUUACAAUAAAUUUAUUUAAACGGAUG